rnacentral:rRNA from 1 species
GGAUGAACGCUGACAGAAUGCUUAACACAUGCAAGUCUUUGGCGAAGCUGUGCUCGCACAGCCUAGCCAAGGCGGACGGGUGAGUAACGCGUAAGGAACUUGCCCUGCAGUCAGGGAUAACAGACGGAAACGACUGAUAAGACCUGGUAAAGUCAGGCGGACUCAUGUCCAGCCUGAUGAAAAGAGAUGCUGCAGGAGAGCCUUGCGUCCUAUUAGCUUGUUGGUGGGGUAACGGCCCACCAAGGCGAUGAUAGGUAGCCGGCCUGAGAGGGUGGACGGCCACAAGGGGACUGAGAUACGGCCCUUACUCCUACGGGAGGCAGCAGUGGGGAAUAUUGGACAAUGGGGGCAACCCUGAUCCAGCAAUUCUGUGUGCACGAUGAAGGUUUUCGGAUUGUAAAGUGCUUUCAGCAGGGAAGAAAAAAAUGACGGUACCUGCAGAAGAAGCGACGGCUAAAUACGUG